UACGUAGGGUGCGAGCGUUAAUCGGAAUUACUGGGCGUAAAGCGUGCGCAGGCGGUUUUGUAAGCCAGAUGUGAAAUCCCCGGGCUUAACCUGGGAAUGGCAUUUGGGACUGGCAAGGCUGGAGUGCGGCAGAGGAGACUGGAAUUCCUGGUGUAGCAGUGAAAUGCGUAGAUAUCAGGAGGAACACCGAUGGCGAAGGCAGGUCUCUGGGCUGACACUGACGCUCAUGCACGAAAGCGUGGGGAGCAAACAGG
rnacentral:rRNA from 1 species